CAUGCAGUCGAGCGGGGGGAGGUGCUUCGGUACUGACCUUAGCGGCGGACGGGUGAGUAAUGCUUAGGAAUCUGCCUAUUAGUGGGGGACAACAUCUCGAAAGGGAUGCUAAUACCGCAUACGUCCUACGGGAGAAAGCAGGGGAUCACUUGUGACCUUGCGCUAAUAGAUGAGCCUAAGUCGGAUUAGCUAGUUGGUGGGGUAAAGGCCUACCAAGGCGACGAUCUGUAGCGGGUCUGAGAGGAUGAUCCGCCACACUGGGACUGAGACACGGCCCAGACUCCUACGGGAGGCAGCAGUGGGGAAUAUUGGACAAUGGGGGGAACCCUGAUCCAGCCAUGCCGCGUGUGUGAAGAAGGCCUUAUGGUUGUAAAGCACUUUAAGCGAGGAGGAGGCUCUUUUGGUUAAUACCCAAGAUGAGUGGACGUUACUCGCAGAAUAAGCACCGGCUAACUCUGUGCCAGCAGCCGCGGUAAUACAGAGGGUGCAAGCGUUAAUCGGAUUUACUGGGCGUAAAGCGCGCGUAGGCGGCCAAUUAAGUCAAAUGUGAAAUCCCCGAGCUUAACUUGGGAAUUGCAUUCGAUACUGGUUGGCUAGAGUGUGGGAGAGGAUGGUAGAAUUCCAGGUGUAGCGGUGAAAUGCGUAGAGAUCUGGAGGAAUACCGAUGGCGAAGGCAGCCAUCUGGCCUAACACUGACGCUGAGGUGCGAAAGCAUGGGGGAGCAAACAGGAUUAG
rnacentral:rRNA from 1 species